ACCUGAAGAAAUCGAAAUGGACAUACUCUCAAGACUUCCAGUUAAAUCUCUUCUGCAAUUCAGAUCCAGAUGAUGAAACUUUGUCAGCCUCCCUUAAUCCAGAGAACAUUGAGCCUCAAGAUGAUGAAAUUUCCUCCAGUCACCCUCCUUAGCCUGCAGCAACUGAAUCAGCCAUCAUCCUUGAUGUUCCUCCAGCCCUCCAGUUAUAGGCAAGGGAAAAAGAAAGAAAUCAACUGCUCAUGUGACUCUAAAGAGGACAAAAUUCAGUAAGAGUAAGAAACAUGAGGUAGAGAAAGAUCCAGGAAGCCUUCAGCCUACAGAAGACGUAACUGAUGAUCCGGUGAUUGAACUGGCCGUGACCCCAUAAUUAAUGUUACUGAUGAUCCUUCUGAUCAUUCCUCAGAGGAAAAAGAGCAAUCUCCGCUUCUUGACUUGGUCUAUAGGCCAGUUAGGAAUUUUAGUCCUUUGAAGGAUUUUCAUGAACCCAUUGAGGUACCCUUAAAUUUUCAAGUCACUCUGGCCAAAGCUUCAUCUCAAGGAGACAGCACAGCUCUUCAGCCAGAGUUUCUUCCACCAGUAGUCAGCCAUCAAUCACAUUUGGAUGCAACUAUGGCCAAAUCAUCCAAAGUAUUGACUAUCUCAUACCUGUAAUUUUUUUCAUACUUUAAAAAUUAAACUUCUAACCUUUUUCUAUAUUGACAAGUUGUACAUGAAGAAACUUAAGCUAUUCCUUCUUUUCCUCUACCAAAAGCUCUUGCUUCUUCCCUUCUGGCCUUGAGUAAUUUCUUCAAAGAUGUGGUGGCUUCAGUGACAGAGGAAAGAGAAAGUGAAUCUUCAGGAGCGACUCCAGUUAUCAGCCAGUGUUCCAAUACAAACCAUGGAAGAAACCAAAAGAACUUUGGUUGAAAUCUUGCAAAGAGAUGUUGCUGAUCUUCCUAAGUUUGAAAGUGAGCUCACGGCUGUCCUUACUACACUCAGCUAGUAUCCAGACUUCCCAGUCGACCUGUAAGCCACCAUUGCUACUUUCAAAGGUCAAUUACCAGCUUUAGCUGAUGAGAUUUUUCAAGCCAAUGAAUCGAUCAAUUAAUUCAACAAAGCAAGAGCAGGAAGGAAACUCUUGGUAACCAGUUGUUAACUUAAGCUUCCACCUUUGACCGAGUGAACAUAGAAUUCAUCAGCCUUGAGGAAAGAGAGAAAGUCCUUCAAAAAGAGAUCGACCAGAUUCAUGUUCUUAAGGCCAUCUUGUCUGCCGAGACUGCCACAUUGCAGUUUGAAGCUCAAGACCUUGCUCACAAGCAUGCCAGUCUUUGUGAAGAAUUACCUAGACUAGAAGAAUCAAAGAGACGGGCUAUGGUUGCUUUUAAUCGGUUCUUAGUGAUUUGGGCCGAUUUCAAGGAGAAAUUUGCAAAUAUGUAAAUCUUUUUUAGUGGGACGCCUUUUUUGUGGCCAUUUUCAGUGUGUGCACUCAAAUGAUGUAACCUUUACACUUCAAUAAUGAAUGGCCUUUUUUAUUACAAAAAAUCCAAUAUUUCAACAAUUUUUUUUUUUUUUUAAUUAAAAUUCAAACAACUAAAUCAGCCUAUUAAAUAAGCCGAAUUUAUUACAUAAAGGUACACUUGGUCAACCAAAGGUACUGGCUGACUCUAAUUUUCCCUUUCAAAGAU